GUAACAAGGUCUCCGUUGGUGAACCAGCGGAGGGAUCAUUACAAGAAGCCGAAAGGCUACUUAAAACCAUCGCGAACUUAUCCAAGUUGCUUCGGCGGCGCGGCUCCCCUCACGGGGGACCGCAGCCCCCGCCUCUCACGAGGCAAGGGGCAGCCGCCGGAGGUACGAAACUCUGUAUUAUAGUGGUAUCUCUGAGUAUAAAACAAAUAAGUUAAAACUUUCAACAACGGAUCUCUUGGUUCUGGCAUCGAUGAAGAACGCAGCGAAAUGCGAUAAGUAAUGUGAAUUGCAGAAUUCAGUGAAUCAUCGAAUCUUUGAACGCACAUUGCGCCCGCUAGUACUCUAGCGGGCAUGCCUGUUCGAGCGUCAUUUCAACCCUCAAGCUCUGCUUGGUGUUGGGGCUCUACGUCUGACGUAGGCCCUGAAAGGAAGUGGCGGGCUCGCUACAACUCCGAGCGUAGUAAUUCAUUAUCUCGCUAGGGAAGUGUGGCGUUCUCCAGCCGUUAAAGACCCCAUCUUUAACCAAGGUUGACCUCGGAUCAGGUAGGAAUACCCGCUGAACUUAAGCAUAC
rnacentral:rRNA from 1 species